GUGGAGUGAGUAGGGGAGUGAGUAAGGGAGUGAGUAGGGGAGUGAGUAAGGGAGUGAGUAGUGGAGUGAGUAAGGGAGUGAGUAGGGGAGUGAGUAAGGGAGUGAGUAAGGGAGUGAGUAGGGGAGAGUGUAGGGGAGAGAGUAGGGGAGUGGGGGGCAGUAGGGAAGCAAGUAUUGGAGUGUUGGGUUACCACGGGGCUACCAGGGUUAGGGUACCAGGGCUAGGGGACCAGGGUUAGGCGACCAGGGUUAGGGGACCAGGGCUGGGGUACCAGGGUUAGGGUACCAGGGCUAGGGGACCAGGGGUUAGGGUACCAGGGGUAGGGUACCAGGUGAGCGGUGUGGAAGGUUCACGAGAAACCUUCCAAAAAUGUAAAAGGUCAUCUUAUAAAAAAAUGCUAAAGGUUGUUUCAAAUCACGGCAACAGUGAAGAAAGGAUCUGUUGAGAGAACACAAGGUGGAGCUCAUAGAGGAGGAGGAGCUCACAGGAGGAGCUCACAGUGGAGGAGGGGCUCACAGGAGGAG